rnacentral:rRNA from 1 species
UACAGAGGGUGCAAGCGUUAAUCGGAAUUACUGGGCGUAAAGCGUGCGCAGGCGGCUAUUUAAGCUUGCUGUGAAAGCCCCGGGCUUAACCUGGGAACUGCAGUGAGGACUGGAUGGCUGGAGUGUGGCAGAGGGGGGUGGAAUUCCACGUGUAGCAGUGAAAUGCGUAGAGAUGUGGAGGAACACCGAUGGCGAAGGCAGCCCCCUGGGCUAACACUGACGCUCAGGCACGAAAGCGUGGGGAGCAAACAGG